GCCGGAGCAAGGUCAAAGAAGCAAGCAAUCCAACUCCUAUAGAGUUAGGACCUGAGAUCCUCAAUGACCCUCUACCAUGAAGUUCCUUUACCUUCUCUUUGUUGUUCUUGGUGCUCCAGAUUGCUUCAGCAUGCUAGCUAUAAAACACAUACGAAUCAUCAAGGAAUGUGAAAGGACUUUACAUAAAACAUCUCUCUUGCCUUCAAAAUGGACAUUUCUGCUGGAAGCUCAAACUGCUAAUGGAGAAAUUGUUACUUGGGGAAGGACACAGAGUCAUGUCAAGUUGGCCAAGGAACACACCACAGAGAGGCCAACGGAAAGGGGCCUGAAGAAGUAAGUUGCUGACCAGAGCUAAACCAGCAGGAGUUCGUUAUAUGUCCCAAGACAUUUUACACAAACCUCUGUGGCCUAAUGUGUCUUGCACAAUCUGGGAUGGCACAAGAUGUUUUGCACAAAGACCAUGAAGUUUUCCACGGACCGAGUUGCAAGAAUUCCAAUAUCCUAAUUAUGGUUGGACAUUUCAAAUCUUCUCCAGAAGCAGGGGUCACUUUCUGAUUGGCCCACAGCAGCUUUGCCAAGAAGAAAACAAGCCUUCAGAAACUGUAUAAAACAGGCUGUUCGGUUCAAAGCCUCACUCCCUGAAGCUCAUAAAUCUUGAUCAGAGAGACGGUGAGCAGGACUGUCAUCACCUGGCUACUGAGAGCAUCCCCUUUCUGGGACUUUGUCUCCUCUCUGUCCUGGAAUCUCUUCUCUUCAGUGACGCUGAGUUCACAGCCAAUCUUCAGCCAUGAAGAUCCUUUACCUGCUCUUUGCUGUUGUCUUCUUGGUGCUCCAGGGUGUCACAGAAUUCUCCCAGGCUCAGAGGUUCAGGUGGGUGUGUACACAGCUUGGAGAUACCUGCUUCCCUUGGAGAUGUCCCUCCAAUUUUGUGUACAUUGAAAGAUGCUAUCCACGGGGCGUUUGCUGUCGAAGGAGAUUUUCUGACUGACUGUCUAAUCAGGAUCUCAGGGAAUCAGGGAGACAGCCACUUGCUUCUAAAAUCAUCAGAUCCUGCUUCAAUGGAACGCUGAAGUGCUGCUUAUUUGGGCUGUAAAGAACCUUGUGAGCUGGAGAAAUUCCAUAAGGGAGCCCUGUACCAUCCCUAUAAGAUUUGUUACUCUCCUUUUAAUAAAAGCAAGCUGGUGUGAGAUCAUA